rnacentral:rRNA from 1 species
UGAGUACGAGAUGCUACGGCAUCGAAGCAGUCUAUGUCAUACUUCCAAGAAAAGCUUGCACUGUCAUAAACAAAGAAUGCCUGUACCAUAACCGACACAGGUGGGUAGGUAGAGUAUACUAAGGGGCGCGAGAUAACUCUCUCUAAGGAACUCGGCAAAAUGACUCCGUAACUUCGGGAGAAGGAGUGCCUUAUUUCUAAGGUUGCAAUAACAAGAUCCAAGCAACUGUUUACCAAAAACACAGGUCUCCGCUAAGUCGUAAGACGAUGUAUGGGGGCUGACGCCUGCCCAGUGCCAGAAGGUUAAAGAAGUUGGUUAGCAUUAGCGAAGCUGAUAACUGAAGCCCUGGUGAACGGCGGCCGUAACGAUAACGGUCCUAGGUAGCGAAAUUCCUUGUCGGGUAAGUUCCGACCCGCACGAAAGGCGUAAUGAUUUGGAUACUGUCUCGGAGAGGGGCUCGGUGAAAUAGACUUGUCUGUGAAGAUGCGGACUACCUGCACCUGGACAGAAAGACCCUAUGAAGCUUUACUGUAACUUGAGAUUGAAAUUGGACUUUAUUUGCGCAGUAUAGGUGGGAGGCGUUGAGAAUAAUCUCGCGGGAUUGUUGGAGCCAUCAGUGAGAUACCACUCUUGUAAUGUUAGAUUUCUAACUUUGUAUCAUUAUCUGGUCAAAGAACAGUUUCAGGCGGGCAGUUUGACUGGGGCGGUCGCCUCCCAAAGGGUAACGGAGGCGCACAAAGGUUUCCUCUGAACGGGUAGAAAUCGUAUCUAGAGUGUAAAGGCAUAAGGAAGCUUGACUGUGAGACCUACAAGUCGAGCAGGGACGAAAGUCGGUCUUAGUGAUCUGACGGUGCUGAGUGGAAAGGCCGUCACUCAACGGAUAAAAGUUACUCUAAGGAUAACAGGCUGAUCUCCCCCAAGAGUUCACAUCGACGGGGAGGUUUGGCACCUCGAUGUCGGCUCAUCGCAUCCUGGGGCGGUAGUCCGUCCCAAGGGUUGGGCUGUUCGCCCAUGAAAGCGGUACGCGAGCUGGGUUCAGAACGUCGUGAGACAGUUCGGUCCAUAUCCGGUGUAGGCGUUAGAAUAUUGAGAGGAGCCUUCUCUAGUACGAGAGGACCGAGAAGGACAUACCUCUGGUGUACCAGUUAUCGUGCCAACGGUAAACGCUGGGUAGCUAUGUAUGGAGUGGAUAACCGCUGAAAGCAUCUAAGUGGGAAGCCCACCUCAAGAUAAG